rnacentral:rRNA from 1 species
UACGUAGGGUGCAGGCGUUAAUCGGAAUUACUGGGCGUAAAGCGUGCGCAGGCGGUCUGCUAAGAGAGAUGUGAAAUCCCCGGGCUUAACCUGGGAACUGCGUUUCUAACUGGCAGGCUUGAGUGUGGCAGAGGGGGGUGGAAUUCCACGUGUAGCAGUGAAAUGCGUAGAGAUGUGGAGGAACACCGAUGGCGAAGGCAGCCCCCUGGGCUAACACGUGACGCUCGAUGCACGAAAGCGUGG